GCUCAGGUUGUGGCCUAUGUACUAGGAUAUACCUCCCACUCACUGCACUGCUCAGGUUGUGGCCUAUGUACUAGGAUAUACCUCCCACUCACUGCACUGCUCAGGUUGUGGCCUAUGUACUAGGAUAUACCUCCCACUCACUGCACUGCUCAGGUUGUGGCCUAUGUACUAGGAUAUACCUCCCACUCACUGCACUGCUCAGGUUGUGGCCUAUGUACUAGGAUAUACCUCCCACUCACUGCACUGUAGAAACAGAUGCAACGCAUAUCCAUAUUCACCACUGCUCGUAUGCCCCAUUUUCAUCCCAU